rnacentral:rRNA from 1 species
UACGUAGGGGGCAAGCGUUAUCCGGAUUUACUGGGUGUAAAGGGAGCGUAGACGGUAAUGUAAGUCUGAUGUGAAAGCCCGUGGCUCAACUGCGGGACUGCUUUUGGAACUAUCUAGCUAGAUUGCAGGAGAGGUAAGUGGAAUUCCUAGUGUAGCGGUGAAAUGCGUAGAUAUUAGGAGGAACACCAGUGGCGAAGGCGGCUUACUGGACUGUAACUGACGUUGAGGCUCGAAAGCGUGGGGAGCAAACAGG